CCUACGGGCGGCAGCAGUGGGGAAUAUUGGACAAUGGGGGCAACCCUGAUCCAGCCAUGCCGCGUGUGUGAAGAAGGCCCUCGUGUUGUAAAGCACUUUCAGUGAGGAAGAACGCCUGGUGGUUAAUACCCAUCAGGAAAGACAUCACUCACAGAAGAAGCACCGGCUAACUCCGUGCCAGCAGCCGCGGUAAUACGGAGGGUGCGAGCGUUAAUCGGAAUUACUGGGCGUAAAGCGCGCGUAGGUGGCUUGAUAAGCCGGUUGUGAAAGCCCCGGGCUCAACCUGGGAACGGCAUCCGGAACUGUCAAGCUAGAGUGCAGGAGAGGAAGGUAGAAUUCCCGGUGUAGCGGUGAAAUGCGUAGAGAUCGGGAGGAAUACCAGUGGCGAAGGCGGCCUUCUGGACUGACACUGACACUGAGGUGCGAAAGCGUGGGUAGCAAACAGGAUUAGAUACCCGUGUAGUC
rnacentral:rRNA from 1 species